UUAACAUUCUGAACCCUAAGAAUUCAUAACUUUGAUCGAAGGCAAUGUGUUAAGAAUGGGCUUAAGAAGUUCGUAGGGCUACGAACGUUUCGAGAAUAGAUA